CCCACAUGCCGUAUUUCCGAUGUAAACCACGAUAGUGCGCCAAUGGCCUGACCACUCCUUUGUUACCUUGCCCGGCAACUGCGACUUCCGUUUUAGUUAUCUAUAAGACUUCGUUGCGUGCAUACCGCUGUUUAAGUGUUUUUCGAAUUGAUGAACCUUCAUCGAUAUUGAGAACUUCAGUUGGAAUGGCGAUGAAUCUGAAACCAAACGUAGACUGUUCCACUUGUCUGAAUCACAAUAAUGGCGUAUUUUCUUCCUCUGAGAGCAGUAAUAAAGUCACCUAAAUUUAGAGAAAGAAU
rnacentral:misc_RNA from 1 species